rnacentral:piRNA from 1 species
UAGUAAUGGGAUGCUAAUGAAUUAUUGG